UGGAUAGGUUUUGUUGAGUUUCGGAACACUCUUCGAAUUGAAUUCUUUGAAUUAUUUUGUUUCUUUGAAUUAUUUUGUUUAUUUAUCCUUUCCCCCGAUUAUGAGAAAAACGUGUUAGUGCCUUAAAAGUUUAUAAUUGAGUUAGUGAAAAUCAAGUGAUCUUAUUGAAUAUUGUUCAUGUCAUUCUUUUCAUUGAUCGUUGCUACAAAUGAAUUUUUUCAUAGAACCGAAUGAAGAUGAGAGGGUCAAUGAUGUAUUGGAUAAUGAAGAAGAAGAAAGUGGUGAAAAUUUGGAGGUAUUGUCUAACGCAACAGGGAAGAAUAAACUCACUCGUGCACCCCGAAUGUCAAACAUUCGUUACAUUGCCAAUUAUGAGACUGACCAUUGGUUGAGAUAAACAAAAAUAUUUCAUAUCAGCAAUGCACAUUUGAAAUGAACCUGAUGCAUAAAAUCUCAGUGUGACUAAAAUCUGUAAUGAAUAAUCAAUAAGUGUUACCUCAAUUAUA